CAGCGUGGAGUUGAAAGUUGGAGUCUGCUGAAUUUUGGGGACUGAUUUUUGAUGGAUCGGAAGACAUCAUUAAAACCGAGCAUGAGAUCGUUUUCAUUGUGUCUGUGUCCAACAUCGGGCAGUUUACCACGGAAUUCCUUGGCCUAAUCGAACUGGGUGCUAACCGAUCUGCGCAGUCUGUAACAGACAGACUCGUUAAACAUUACCAGGAAGCAGGCUUGGGCAACUGGAAGAGAAAGUUGGUCGCCGUAGGAGACUCCCUUGUGCACAUUCUGUGCACCGUACACACACUAGAAAACUGAGGAAAAUCAGCUGAUCGCAACGUUCCGUCAAGCUGCUGCAGUUUUAUUUACAAAAAGGUGAAGCAGAAAAUACGCCUGUGCUUAAGAAGUUGUGUGAAGAGAACAGGAUCUCCUUUGUGAAACUGGGUAAAUUUCAUAAUAUCUGAUGGUCUGCAUAGAGGCAUGACACACUGCUAAAAAUAUCAAGAUUAUUGCCAGCUAUUAAAAUGCAACUGGCCACAAGUGAUAACAGUGACUUAAAGCAUAUCUGCACAGACCAAUUUCAGUGUUUUCUGGGCAACGUGCCUGACAUUGGCAAGAUUUUGAAGACCACAUCCAUUGUGUUUCAGAAGGAAAAGCUGAGCAUUGGAGAAUGUAAGGAUGAACUCAUGGUGGCCAUAGGACAGUUUACACUUUUGCUUGAUGCUGAAGGCCACUACAGAGCAUAUACUGUUUCUAAUGCUGAUGCUGACAGGGAUAAGAUAAACUUACUCAGGGGGUUAAUUGAGGAGUUUGGAAUCAGAUAUGACUCACUGAAGUCAUGUGAUCAUUUCUUAGUAUUUGAUCCUUCAACCUGGCCUCAGGAAAUACAAGAUUUGUGGCAACACAACAGUUUGUACCAUUCUUCAGAAUUAUGAAGCCACACUGAGUCUUGACAAAGACACAACUGUCAUAGAAUGGAUGCGCUUAAAGCAAACAGGGAAAUGCUUGGCAGCAUCCUCUGUGUAUGACUUGGUCCAGAUAAUAAAUACAAGCAAUCCAGAUCUUUACUCCAACAUUGUCAAAUUGGUUAAACUGUCUCUUACACUGCCUUUGAGCAGUGCAGCCUGUGAGAGGGGAUUCUCAAAUCUUAACAUAAUAAAAAACAAGCACAGAUCUCAUCUGUUACAUGCUCGCCUCAUGGCCCUAAUGCACAUCCACCAGUCAAAGAACACCAUAGAGACAUUUGACCCAAAACCAGCGGUUGACCAGUGGAUGGAGACAGCUAAGCGGAGGCUUAACCAAGGAGAGGGAGAUGCAUCUGCAGCAUCAUCAUCUACCAUGCAGGAAGCUGAGGUAGACAGCGAGGAGGACAGUGAGGAAGGCUGCACUUAUUAAAACCUUACUCUGUAUAGAGUGAUCAGACCAUUCUCGGGAAAUUCCACCUGGCCUCGAUGACGUCCCUUCUGGUUUUGACUCCAAUGAUGUCUCUUCCGGUUCUGGACCCAAUGACAUCACUUCCAAUGCCUCUCCUUAAAUACCACCAUUUUCCACCUAUGCAUUAAUUCCGUUUUGAACUCCAUGAAACCAUUUGCUUUACUGUGUUGCAACCAAUUACAAUAUACGGGGCUGCUACUCCAAACCUUUUUGUGGCUCCUACGUGUUCUUGUUGCACCACCAUAAAUAAGGAAAUCACCUGACAAAUAUGUGGCUAUUGUGAGAAUCUUUAUUUGAAACAAAUAUAAUAUUUACAAUUACAAAAUAACAAAUCUAACUUUGAAUUAUCUUUCUUGUGUACUUUGCUCCAGAAAUCUUUUUCUUCUCUCAGAUAAACCAUACCAACCUUCUUUCAUAUAUUUGUGCAUUUCUUUGAGAACUGGGCCUUCCUACUUUCUUGGCAUGAUAGUUGCUUGAGACUCUGUUAGAUGCUUUGAAUCAUCUGGAUUACUUGAGAAUUCCUUUCCAUUCCUUUAGGCAGUGUUUGGCCAGCAUUUGUUAGUGGAUGGUGCUGUGGUAAACUGAAACUGGUAGGAAGGCUUUGCUGGGAAUCAAGUGGAGAAUGCAUCUGUCUGGAAGAGCUUCCCAUGUAUCUCAGAAGAGGUCAAGGACUUGGACACCAAAUGGACUAUAUUUUCAGAUCCCAAUAUUGGAAGCAUCUGCAUGGGGCAAGAAGGUCGUGGGUGCCUGUGAUUACCGCAACAUUAGGGCUUAUUUUUGGAAACCAACAAUAAGGGAAGUUGUCAAGCUGAAGAAAGAGGCAAUUUGUGUAGCAUUCAAAUGAGAGUUUUCAGAUUUGAAUAUUCUAUUAAAUUGAGUCUAUUUGUUGUGGGAGUUGAACCUGCCAAGGAGAUGAAUCGUGUCCCAAGUCCUGUUCAUGAUUUUCAAGGACAGGAUAUUAAGAUAGAGCAAAAAUUGUAGAGUAUCCAAUUUGGGAACCUAAAGGCUGCUCCUCUGCUGUUACAGGAUGAUGAUGCCCAUUUGACUUCUUCAGUCAGUAAUCUCCUGCCCACACUGGAACAUUUUGCAUGCUAGGUGCAGAAUAAGAAUACACACCUCCAUAUCCCAGGUCAUGGUCCUUUUCCAAGAAAAGUGUUGUGUUCUCCUUAGUGAGCAGCUCCACCAAGUGGAAUAGUACAAGUAUCAUGACUAAUGCAUUGGUGCAGAAGCACCAGAACUAUGGAUAUUUCACAGUAAAGUGGUGGUGAAGCAUAGCAAAAUCUUUGGACAAGGUGUCCAGUUACAGGUUAGACUACAUCCCUAGCCUCAGCUGGGCCACAAGUUCCUGGGUAGUGACUGAAAGAAUGAAAUGGGAGUCCUGCACAGGAUUGCUGGGCUCACUAAUCUUGACAAGAUGAGGACCUCAGCAAUGUUGGAGGACUUUGCAGUAGAAUUUCAGCUUUGGAGGAUUAAGAGGAGCCAGUUGAAAUGGUUCAGGUAUACAGCUGGAAUGCUCACUUGGCAACUGCCAUGAUCCAUGGGGAGUAAACCAAGAGAAAGACCCAAGGCACAUUGGAGAGAUUAUAUCGCUUGACUCCCAAUUCUCCAUCAGAGGCUCGGAGAGAAUGUUGAGGUUAGGAUGGCCUGAUCAGUCUAUUUUAGCAUGUUGCUACCACGACUCUCAUCUGGAUAUGCAGAGAGAAAAUGAUGAUGAUGAAGCAACUGAUUUUGGAUGAAUGUCAAUACUGUGGAACCUACAAGGCCACCCGAGGGAAAUCCCACCUGGACCUGUGAACAUCACUUAUGGUUCUGGGCCCAAUGACAUCACUUCAUCUGACCCAGCUAUAACAACUCCAUCUUGUUCCUAUUAGUUAAGUUCUGGCUUGAUCUCCAUCUGUAAUAACCUUUUGAUUUUUUUCAUCUGUUUCAAGUCUACAGAAUGGCUACCCCAAACCUUUUUCCAUCUCCCUGUUAUCUUUCCACACAUUAACUUGUAUGUUUUCAGCUGUGCUGACACCAUGCUUUAUGCAUAUCCCGUGAUUUAUACAAAUGAAGUGAUCAAUGGGGCAUGCAAAAACACCACUAACCAAUAGGGUAGACGGAUGACUGAAACCAGGAUUUGGUGUCCUGCACAGGAAAAAAGUGAUGGGAUUACGUUCUGAAAUUGAAAAAGAAAAUUGUUGUUUUUGCUGUUGAAUACUGACACUCUUACAGUAGAUGUACUCUGGCUCUUAUUUUGGUUAUCUCAUCUGCUUCAUUGUCCUUUAACAUUCAGUCGGUGGCACUGAAAACUGAUCCCUUAACUGUUCUUUAACCACUGUGCUGCAAACUCAGAGGGAGGAAUGUCGCUGUUUGAUAUUGGUGCUUAAAUUUCUAAUAGAGUGGACACAAAAAUUACUGAUCUGUGCUCUGUGCUUUUCGUGUUAAUAAAUCAGUAUAACACAUACUGUAGGACACCAGCACUUAUUUAUACCCACUUCAAGCACUGCUUUGCACAUACAGAGGCGUUCACAUCAUAGGACUAACUAUGUGCUAAAUGGUAAAUAGAUUUUGAGGAGUCUGAUCCCACAUAAUAUCUUUUAAAAACAGUGAAUAUAUUUCUUUUAUGUUUGCAGCAGCUUUCAGAGAAAUGUUUGGAGUAUAAGUAAUUUUGAACCUAGAUCUUCUGACACUUUUUAAAUGUUUAAGGACUAAAGUGAAGAGAAUCAUCCAUAAUUUGGAAAUAUGCUAUCAAAAGUGUAAUGUGCGAACUGUUAAACCACUGCAGGCAAAUAUUUAUCAAUCCGUUUUAAAUUCAACCAUAUAGUUCAGUAUGAAGAGUGCAUGAAAGCUAAGCGAGCAGCAUUAAAUUCCAGUAAUGUUAGAUCCGUGAAACAGAUGAAUAUUAAUUACCUGUUUACGCCAACACACAUCUGUAUACAGCUGGCUAUCGAAAGUAUAAUCAGAUAAUGGUAGUCAUUGUGUUUUGCUUAUCAAAAGACAAGGCUCCGAUUAAAAUUGUGUGCAACGAAAAUUUUAAAAAAUGAUCAACAGUCAGGGUAAGAGAAGUGAUAACUUCUUGCAAUUAUUUAUCUGAAGUCAGUUAUAAAUUAUUAUAAAUGUCACACAAAAAUCAAAAUGGAUCGCUUUAUGCAACCACAACCGAUUUGAGGUUGAGUAGCACGAUGCAAGCUGCCUGAGCAUAAUGGUUCAUUAUAAUGUACACUGAAAAACAGACACUUGCAAAGUUGCUUCUAUAACUGAGUGCACCUUUUAUUUUUCUUAAGAACAGACUGAGUCUGGCAGCAGGUAACAGUGUGUUACUGUCGACAUACUUCUCGAGCUUACUGUAUAUUAAUAUUGCUACAUUUAAUGCUUCUAUAUAGCAGUACAUCAGAAGAACUAGGUGACAUUACUGCCAUUUAAGAUUUUAUCAUGUUCCUUAAUUUUUACAUAUGUAUACAGCUUUUGUUUUCUUAAUACAGCAGAAACCCAAUUUAACAUUCCUAUGGUUAAUAUUUUUUAAUAUUUCACAUUUUUGAAU